CUUAUUGCCCUGGCUAUAAUUUCAUGUGCUAUAUUGAAUAAGAGCACUAAGACUAGACAUUCUUGUCUCAUUCCUGAUUUUUGAGGCUCUGUUUUUAGUUUUUCCCAUUCAGUGUGAUCAUAGUUGUGGGUUUAGCAUAUAUAGAUUCUAUUAUAGUCAAAUAGGUUUCUAUAUCUUUUCUUUUUUACCUACCACUGUAAUAUUUGAUACUAAGUUUUAUUCUUUGAGAGCUUCAUAGAGUCUACAAUGAAAUGUGAUCAUAUCUAUCUCCCAUUUGCUCCCCCCAAGUCCCUCUGGGCCUCCCUGUAAUGACCACCUCUAUUCUUUUAAUAUUCCACUGAGUCAAAUUAGUGCUGCUCAUAUGUGAACAAUUGGGGUUAUGAGGUCAUCCAAUGGAACAUAGGUGACACCCUCAAGAACAAUGACUCUCCCUCCUCUGGUAGCUAUCAAUUGCCAAUAGCUCUUCAGUAAAGGGUGAGGCCUUUUAAGUUCCUCCCUCAUCUAUGCUGGAAGUUUGGAUUCCUUAUUCUUGUACAGGUCUUAUGCCAGUAACCAUAGCUCCUGUGAAUUCAUGAGUGCCAUAUUCUUGUCACAUCCAGAAAACAGCACUUCUAGCAACCCUCUCCAUCCUCCAGUUCUUAAAUUCCUCUGCCUUUUCUUUUGGAAUGUUCCCUGAACUUGGUAUCACAAAAUGGAGUAUUUCUUCUAUGUCAGGUCAAAGGAGCCCCUUUCUCCGGUCAUGGGAGAUAAUGCCAACAAAUAAUGCAAUGGAGAUAUGCUUGAAAUCGUGUCUCCUGUUUCUGCUGUCCCAAUGAGAAGAUGGACAGCAUUUAGAACGUUUUCUGAAGAACAGAAGAAAGGCUCAAUCCUCUUCUACACAUUACAAGCAACAGCCUUCCUCUACCAGUCAUAACAACAAAGUCUUCUGGAGUGGUAUGAGUUAUUGUUCUAUGUUUAGCAAAAACAAAUAAAGCUUUAUUUAA
rnacentral:sRNA from 1 species